rnacentral:rRNA from 1 species
GAUGAACGCUGGCGGCGUGCCUAAUACAUGCAAGUCGAACGAACAGAUGAGUAGCUUGCUGUUCUGACGUUAGCGGCGGACGGGUGAGUAACACGUGGCUAACCUACCUAUAAGACUUGGAUAACUGCAGGAAACCGGAGCUAAUACCGGAUAAUAUAUUUAACCGCAUGGUUCAAGAGUGAAAGACGGUUUUGCUGUCACUUCUAGAUGUAUCCGCGCCGCAUUAGCGAGUUGGUAAGGUAACGGCUUACCCAGGCAACGCUGCGUAGCGGACCUGAGCGGGGGUGCGGCGACAGUGGAACUGAGACGCGGUAUAGAGUCCUACGGGAGGCAGAAGGUGGGACUCUUCGCAAAAGGGGGAAAGCGUGACGGAGCGACGCUGGGUGAGGGAGGAAGCGCCGUGUGUCGGAAAACGGUGUUCUUAGGGAAGAACGAAUGUGUACGUAACUAUGCACGUUGUGACGGUAGCUAAUCAGAAAGCGCCGGCUAACUACGUG